GCAAAUCCAUUAUAUUAAGACGAUUGGAUAACAAGCUACAACUUUACAUAUUGAACUUAUCCAUCUGAAUUACAAAGUUUCUUACUAAAAAUCAUCAUCCUGAUUAUCUGAGGCUUUAAUUUCACUAUUUUUUGCCUCUAAGUCAUCGAGAUAAUGUUGAUAUAUAUAUGAUGCAUAUCCCCAUAAUCCCAAUAGCAAUGAAAACACCUUCAACCCAGUAAUUCUAUCUUUCAAGAACACCAUUGCAAAUAUUGGCACAAUUGAACCUCCAAAAUUGAUGAUCACAUUAGAGAACAACGAAGAUGCCUUUGAAACCAAUCCAAAUGAUCCAACAGCGUAUAACUGCCAAGAAAUGGCAGUACAAAUCAAGUUUAUAAAAUAGGACGACUUCCCUGUUCUGUAUUCUCCUAUUUCCUUCUCCAAAUCCCUCCAAUUACCGCUCGCGAAAAGCCCAAUCAACGAAGCUAUCGUCACGAAAAAACCUAUGAAAAACGACAUUUUCAUGACUUGUUUUAACGUGUUACUUUUGAAUACCUUUUGGAAUGCGAGUUCUGUUAAUGAGAACUGUAAUGCGUAACCUAGAGAUCCGAAUGUUGUAACUGCAAAUCCGAUCAGCAGAGAUUUCUGAGAUAUUUCACCGCUAUCACCAGUCUCAUUCUGGAAAAUAACAACAGAGGAUGAGAAGGAGAGAAGCACGACGGAGUUGAGUAUAAUUGCAGUGAUUUUGUGUCCGUUGAGGAAGAAGGAGGUGAUGGCGUUGAACGCCAAUUGAGUACCGGAAAUUAGGGAAUAAGUAGAGGCAGGAAGGUACUGUACUCCAACGGUAAAUGACAUAGAGUUCACUACUUGAAAUAAACCAAGGAAGAUGUAAACGGAAGCGCGAACAAAUAUAGAAGGGUGGUGAGUGGUUCGUUCAUCUUCAUUGUGAUUUUUGGGUGAAGGAUAGCAAAUGAAAGGCAGGAGAAUUGGGAAUCCAGCAGUUUGUGCUAAUGUAGCAAGCCAUCUGCUUUUGCCUCCUUGUUCAUAGUAUACUCUGCCAAACAGAGUGCCAACUGCUUGGCCACCAAGAACAAAGAAAGUGAAGAUAAAUAUCUGAAGCCAUAGCAUAAAUUUACUUGACUGAAAUUUGCUGUUUUUCGCAUUUUCAGAGGACUCUGUUUCCUCUGCUUCUUCAUCUGUCAAAUGAAACAGGGCAACAUAAAAACAGAGAGACCAAAAUCAAAAUUGACUUCUAAUUCAGUGAA
rnacentral:misc_RNA from 1 species